rnacentral:lncRNA from 1 species
GCCAGAGAGACUUUAAAAAUGAGAGCCUCCUUGAAUAUGAGUCUUGGCGUGAAAUGUACUUGAGGCUGUUUAAUCAGAGAGAAGAAAAACUGAAGAUGCUCACAAAAAAUAUUCUUUCAGCUCAGUCUGAGAAACCAAAAGGCAGGCAAGUAAAAAUGGCUUACAUGACCGGUGCAGCAAAACCACCCAGGAACGUUCGCCGACAGCAAGAAAUCCAUGGGACAGCAGGACCUGUCACCCGGUUUCAUCCCAUACAGAAAACAAGGAUUCCAGAAAGCAGAGACAGAAAUAACACAUCAUCAAAUCUGAUUCCUGCUGGCAACACUGGAAGUUCUAGCUCAGGUGUCAUGAUUGAACAUGGAAAGAAGCCUAUCAAAAGUAAAUGGAAUUUCCUAAGAUUAUCAAUUUAGUUGUUUUAACCUGCC